rnacentral:rRNA from 1 species
AUUGAACGCUGGCGGCAGGCCUAACACAUGCAAGUCGAACGAGUGGCGGACGGGUGAGUAAUGUCUGGGAAACUGCCUGAUGGAGGGGGAUCACUACUGGAAACGGUCGCUAAUACCGCAUACCAUCGGAUGUGCCCAGAUGGGAUUAGCUAGUUGGUGGGGUAAAGGCUCACCAAGUCGACGAUCCCUAGCUGUUCUGAGAGGAUGACCAGCCACACUGGAACUGAGACACGGUCCAGCAUCCUACGGGAGGCAGCAGUGGGGAAUAUUGCACAAUGGGCGCAAGCCUGAUGCAGCCAUGCAGCGUGUAUGAAGAAGGCCUUCGGGUUGUAAAGUACUUUCAGCGGUGAGGCGUUACCCGCAGAAGAAGCACCGGCUAACUCCGUGCCAGCAGCCGCGGUAAUUC